rnacentral:tRNA from 1 species
GCACGAUGGCUCAGCGGUAGAGCAGCGGUCUCGAAGCCGUAAGAUUCUGGGUUCGAAACCAAGUCGAUGCG